ACCAUUAAAAACGCACAAAGAAAGACAAAAGUGGAAAACCCAAACCUUCAUAUCGUCACCCUCGUCGUUGGAACCGGUGCCUUUUGGAGCGACCGCACCAUCCUCCUUGGUCUUCUUCUCGCGGCCUCAUUCCGGUCUUCUUCUCGCGGCCUCAUUCCGGUCUUCUUCUCGCGGCCUCAUUCCGGUCUUCUUCUCGCGGCCUCAUUCCGGUCUUCUUCUCGCGGCCUCAUUCCGGUAUCUUUCUGCCUCUUUCUCCUUCGUUCUUUGUUUCUUCUUUCUCACCAACUCUACUUGUGUUUUCUG
rnacentral:lncRNA from 1 species